rnacentral:lncRNA from 1 species
GUUGUAGCAAGCCUAGGGUGGCUACUGUCUCACUUUUAUGGUGCUGGCAAACAUCACAUUCAGCAACAAAUUUCUUGAUAAAAUGUUUCAUACCUAUCCAUUAAAAAAGUUGUUGGACAUGCUUAUAAGUGCAGAGAAAUCCGGAAUUACUAGCAAUUGGUGAUGAAUGGAAUUCCUUCAGAAUUAUCUCCUAGCAAAAAGA